rnacentral:rRNA from 1 species
AUGUGUGAUCAUGUAAAUACAUGUUCUAUAGGCCAUGCUAUUACUGCGCUACUACAGAGGCUGUCAUUUUAAAUAAAUAGCACAGUCAUAUAGGCUUCACUCUAAAGCUGUCCAUAAUAAAAUGUCUUCAUCAGAAUUGUGGGACUACCAGUGGAUACGAAUGGCAAUAUCAGACAGAUUUUUCAACAUACCAGCUCACAUAUCACAACCAUUUUGGUCACUGCAUCUGAGCACUCUGGGAAUGCAAGGUCCACCUUGUAGGCAAAAAACAUUGAUGCUAUGAACACAAAACACCUAGAAACGCGCACCCAAGCAGAGCUCAGAGUACUUCUAGUCUGCAUGCAUCAACACAAGACAGAUCCAAUGUGCACUACCCUUCUCAUCUCGACUAUCCAUAUGCUUCUAUCUCUUUUGUUCAGAGCUGCCAGAGCACCUGGAGGUCAUGCAAAUGACAUCAGUUUGCAGCAUACAUCCUAAAAACAUAACAUACAUAUCCUAAUACAGCUUAGCAUAAUGAUCAACGGUUCCUUAUUUGCUUGCUUUUUAUGCAUUCUUUUCAAGAGGCAUUCAUAUGCAACACAAAGGAUAUGCUUUGUAUCUCUUACUGAAGUUGGCGGUCGUAAUUCCAGGCCAUGAGGUAAGAGAAGCCACCGAAGUGAAGCAAGGGCAACUUUGGGCACCUAAUGCCUGGAAAUUCCAACCCCUCAUCCAGUUGCUAAGGCUUUUAGCAUCAGUCGUUGCUUGGGCAGCAUGGAGAAACAUCGAAAAAAAUGAGAGGUGAGCCGCAGGACCCUCACUGCAGUGUACUCCAUGUUAGCAUGCUGUUGGCCACUAUGAUUUAAGGGUGGGGUGUGCAAUGCCAUAUGGGGGAUCGCGGGAUCCUGAAAGCUCAUGAAAGGCAGACAGGAAAUUCAUGCAACUUAGAAUCAGAGGAAGGAGGUUAGUGAGAGUGCAUUGGUGGAGAGAGGUUGAGCCCCAGACAAAACGCCCCAACUGGACUUUUCUGUGUAGCAAAGUACAUUUACUAGCAAAUAUCACGGAAUGGUGCCUGGAAUUUAUCUGCAAUUCUUGGGAAAAUUUGCUGUUUGGUGCAAGUAUUUAGAACAUUCCAGCCAGGGUGCUAAAUUUCAUUAGUGCACUCCAGUGCAUUUCUACUGUUAACUCAACCAACACUGGGGAAUAAAGGACUAUUAAGUGGGAACCUUGAAAGCUGGAAUGUAAAUAGGGACAAGCAAAAGAUCUUCACUUCUUUUCUAAGGAAAAUAUGUCUUGACUGUGGCACUGAUUCCAGAAGAAGACAUUACCAGAAGAGAGGUGGCCAAUUCAGAAACAGAGAGCCCCACCACUGUGUUUGUUUUAAAAAAUAUUUAUGAAGAAUGUCCCUACCUCUGAACAACAGUAGAAAAUCAGAAACAGCAAUUGGGGUAGGGGAAUAACAUGUUUUUAAGAAUAAUUGCACACAUUAAUUUUGUUUUGACAGGUGUUCUGCCCUAAAUUAUCCAUGCUGACAUUCAUUGGAUGACUUUGUGCAUUAAGAUUUGCAGAGUGAAAAUAAUGCACUGGUUCUUGAAAAUGGAGAGGUAAUGGCGUAAAUCUCGUGCCGGGGCGGUACCCAUAUCCGUGGCAGGUCUCCAUGGAAAACAGCCUCGGGCAUGUUGGAGUAAUGUAGGUAAGAGAAGUCAGCAAGUCAGAUCCGUAACUUCAGGAUAAGGAUUGGCUCUAAGUGCUGGAUCGGUUGGGCUGGGGCACGAAGCGGGGCUGGGCGCAUGCAUUGGGUGGGCGAGUUCUCUCCCCCCCUGGAGGUGGCACCAACUGUGGAUGCAGGCCAGGCCCUUUCUGUGGAUCGCCCCAGCUGCAGUGGUCACCUCUCUCUGUUCCCAUCCUGGGAUUCAGGGCUGGCGUUCUACCUUGGCCGAUGCCUAGCUGCUGACUUAGAACUGGUGCGGACCAUAUGAAUCUGACAGUUUAAUUAAAACAAAGAAUUGCAAAGUCCCAUGGUGGGUGUUGAAAACUGUGAUUUCUGCCCAGUUCUCUGAAUGUCAAAGUGAAGAAAUUCAAUGAAGCACGGGUAAACGGCGGGACUAACUUUGACUCUCUUAAUGUAGUCAAAUGUUUUGUCAUGUAAUUAGUGACGCACAUGAAUGGAUGACCGAGAUUCCCAUUGUGCCUACCAACUAUCUAGCGAAACCACAGCCAAGGGAAGGAGAUGGCGGAAUCAGCGGGGAAAGAAGACAGUCGAGCUAGACUCUAGUCUAGCACUGUGAAGAGACAUGAGAGGUGUAGGAUAAUUGGGAGGCCCUCGGGCCAUCAGUGAAACACAACUACUCUUAUAUUUUUUUCACUUUCCCAAUGAAGAAGGGGGAGAGCCCCGUGGGGCUCUUGCUUCUUGUUCCAAGCACCAGAAGCCCGUUGGACACAACCUAUUCCGGGGACAGUGGCAGUUGGGGAGUUUGACUGGGGUGCUACACCUGUCAACAAUAAUGCAGGUGUCCUAAGGUGCGCUCAGGGAGAACAGAAACCUCCCGUGGAGCAGAAGGGCAAAAUCUUGCUUGAUCUCGAUUUUCAGUAUGAAUACAGACCGUGAAAGCAGGGUCUCAUGAUGCUUCUGACUUUUUUGGGUUCCAAGCAGGAGGUGUCAGAAAAGUGACCACAGGGAUAACUGUCUUGUGGCGGCCAAGUGUUCAUAGUGACUUCGCUUUUUGAUCCUUCGAUGUCAGCUCUUCCUAUCAUUGUGAAGCAGAAUUCACCAAGCGUUGGAUUGUUCUCCCACUAAUAGAGAAUGUGAGCUGGGUUUUGACCGUCGUGAGACAGGUUAGUUUUACCCUACUGAUGAUCUGUCGUUUCAAUAGUAAUCUUGCUCAGUACGAGAGGAACCGCAGGUUAAGACAUUUGGUGUGUGUGCUUGGCUGAGGAGCCAAUGGGCAAAGAUACCAUCUGUGGGAUUAUGACUGAAUGCCUCCAAGUCAGAAUCCCCCCUAAACCGUAAUGAUACCGCAGCGCUGUGGAGCCUUGAUUGACCUAGGAUAGCCGGCCUCUAGGCCGCUUCCCUCUGCUUCCCUCUGGACUCGACUGUUGACAGAAGGGGGCCACCUCUCUCACCCAUAGUGCACCACGUGUUCGUGGGGAACCUGGUGCUAAAUCAUUUGUAGACAACUGAUUCUAAGUCAGGUUUUCGUAAGUAGCAGGGCAGCU